UGUAAACAUGUAAUAAUGUUAAUAUAAAUGAUGUUCAUGUCAAGAACAGUCAUCUAACAUUGCUUUAAAAAUUACUUUGAUGUCAGAGUAGCUAUCAAGUUCAUAGUCUUGACUGUGUCUCGUAGCUAAGCAGUUUGCUUCUUCUGGAGCAAAGGGAGAUCUGGCUGACGGUGACCGACGUCACCCUGCAAGUGCAGGAUGAAAACCACUCUGGCUUCCCCAGAACCCUGCCGGUCUGCGUGACCUCCUCGUGUGUGCUGGCCCAGGAGGUCCUGGAAGAACUCGCCAAGGCUGCCCCCCACAGCUUCUUCUUCAGAGACGCUCUCCGAGACCAGGGUCGGAUUGUCUGUGGUGAGCGCACUGUCCUCUCGCUUCCAAAGCCCGUUCUGGAUGUGGCCUCGGGCACUGGCUCCUGUGAGCUGCCGGGCCCUGUGAGGCUCGAUGGCCUGGAUUCUGUCACUCAGGUCAACUGCAUCUGCAGCGUUCAAGGAAGUGAAUAUUAGCUCUCUGGCCCUGCUUUUACUGCUGUCUUUGUACCACCACCAUACAGCUGUUUCUGUAUAUUGUUGCAUGAUAAUUUAUUCCAUAAUUAUAAUUAAACCUUGC